rnacentral:rRNA from 1 species
UGGUGGUUGAAAUAGUUAGUGGUGAAAUCCCAGAGCUUAACUCUGGAACUGCCAUUAAAACUUUUCAGCUAGAGUAUGAUAGAGGAAAGCAGAAUUUCUAGUGUAGAGGUGAAAUUCGUAGAUAUUAGAAAGAAUACCAAUUGCGAAGGCAGCUUUCUGGAUCAUUACUGACACUGAGGAACGAAAGCAUGGGUAGCGAAGAGGAUUAGAUACCCUCGUAGUCCAUGCCGUAAACGAUGUGUGUUAGACGUUGGAAAUUUAUUUUCAGUGUCGCAGCGAAAGCGAUAAACACACCGCCUGGGGAGUACGACCGCAAGGUUAAAACUCAAAUGAAUUGACGGGGACCCGCACAAGUAGUGGAGCAUGUGGUUUAAUUCGAAGAUACGCGCAGAACCUUACCAACACUUGACAUGUUCGUCGCGACUUUAAGAGAUUAGAGUUUUCGGUUCGGCCGGACGAAACACAGGUGCUGCAUGGCUGUCGUCAGCUCGUGUCGUGAGAUGUUGGGUUAAGUCCCGCAACGAGCGCAACCCUCACUUUUAGUUGCCAUCAUUAAGUUGGGCACUCUGAAAGAACUGCCAGUGAUAAGCUGGAGGAAGGUGGGGAUGACGUCAAGUCCUCAUGGCCCUUACGUGUUGGGCUACACACGUGCUACAAUGGUAUCUACAACAGGAAGCAAGACUGCGAGGUCAAGCAAAUCCUUAAAAGAUACCUCAGUUCGGAUUG